rnacentral:lncRNA from 1 species
CUUCAUUGUGCUUGCUGAAUCCUGGUUACCUUUAACAGCCUCUUUCUUAGCAUUAAGAAGUAGUUCACUCAUCUCCCCUUCUGAUUUACUGAUGUAAGACAAGAUGUAGGCAACACAUGAGUAUACAUCAGUAACAAAUUGGAUAUCAAUAUUGGCAUUCCAUGCUGAUAAAAGAUACUGAUUGUAAUUGUUCACCCAUGGGUCUGAAAGGUUCCUCUUAUGGUGUAUCACAUUUUUAGUUGUCACUGUUUGUAGACAUUGUUUAUAUUUGGAAUAAGUUGUAUUUGCCAUUGUGAAAAUAUCCUUUAAUGUGAGUUCAGAUAAAGAAUCAUAUGAAGUGAUCACAGCCCAUACAUCUUUAAGUAUCUGCUUGGCAGAUCUUUUUGGCUUACAGACUUCAUCAAGCUCUUCUGCUGUUGAAGGUGUUUUCUGUGUUGACUUGUCUUCCUUUUCAAGUUCAUCUGUUUCAAUUCUUGCAAUAAAUGUAUUACAUAUUGGAGGUCUAGGAAAGUUAAACCUGCAUGUUGUUGAAUGUUUCUUGCAAGAUUUUGUAUGACUUUUACUAUGCAUUUGUACUGAUGUAACAAUUUCAUAAAGUUUAGGAUUUUUGUCUUUAUC